GAUGUUGGCUCUAUUGUUUGACUAUGUU
rnacentral:sRNA from 1 species